rnacentral:pre_miRNA from 1 species
UAAAUCAAUAAGUUUGGAUCAGUCAUCAGUCAAAUGUGUCAUCUGAUUCAAACUUAUUGAUUCAAUGACACAUUUGACUGAUGACUGAUCCAAACUUAUUGAUU